rnacentral:lncRNA from 1 species
GGCAUGCACAAGUGCCGACUCCGACGCUGUCGUAGACGUCGACGCCAGUUGCUGACCGCGGGCGGUACGCGCCACCGCCGUACAGUACCAUACCAUACCGCACCGCCUUUUGAUCGGCUGCCAAAUUGUAAUUGGAACGCGAAGGUGUUGUAGACGUCCGCGACUGCUGACUGCCCACUGGCGGCUGGGGGGGCAAGCAGCUGGCGGGGCGCAUGUGUUCUCGGCGUGGCAACCUUCUAAACAAACCAUAAAACGCAUAACUCGCGGUUAC